rnacentral:rRNA from 1 species
GAACACCAGCUCUCCGAGUGGUGUGGAUGUUUAUUGGGCCUAAAGCAUCCGUAGCCGGUUCUACAAGUCUUCCGUUAAAUCCACCUGCUUAACAGAUGGGCUGCGGAAGAUACUAUAGAGCUAGGAGGCGGGAGAGGCAAGCGGUACUCGAUGGGUAGGGGUAAAAUCCGUUGAUCCAUUGAAGACCACCAGUGGCGAAGGCGG